CACGACGGCCGGGCGCGCCGUCGUGACGUCAUCAGCGCGCACCGCCCCCACUUCCGAGCGCACGGGUGGUAGCUCCUAGAGCCCGGGCGUUCCGGGAACGCGAUCCUACUCGGCGGCCCUCCCUGCUUGCAUCGGCCACUCCUGAGGCUGAGGAAUUUCAUUCCUUUUUCGAAAACAGAUACCCAGGAAGCCUCUCGGUGCUCCCCCGUGGCUGGGCGAGUCUCCUGGGCCCCGAGAGGAGGCGGUGACAGGCCAGGGCCAUCGGCAGCGGUAGCAGGGGACUGCAUAGGGCUGCCUCGGGCCGACUAGCAGGCUCGCCGCGAGCCUCGGCGGCCCCAGUCCCCAGCGCAUGGAAUGUGCCCCGGGCCCCAUGAGCUCCCGGACCCGCGGUUGUGAGACAGGGCUUGGGCUGCUUGGAGCUAGUGAGCCAUCGGCCACGGCAGGCAUUUGAACAGAGCUUGGAGGCAAAGGGGUGAGAUGGUGCAUCCAUUGAGGUCACUUCAGGAGAUGACACUCCUGUGGCUAAGUGUAGCCUCCCAGGUAAGGCCCAGUCAAUGGAGAAUCCUCAGGUGGGCGACGGGUGGAGGAUGCGUGUGGUUUGGCAGAGGGGACAAAUGUGACAACAGUGUAAUAAGGGCCAUGUUGGGGAGGGUCAGUGGUCAGGGCCUGGCCCAACCUGAGCAGAAGGGAGGCUCUCUUAGGGAUAUUUGCCAGGUAGGAAUGGGUGGAGUGGAACUACAGGGCCACCAUGUUUCCCAUAGGUCACCCACGUUGUUGGCCUUGUCAUGUUUAUCCACGAAUCCUGGUGUUCUCUGUGGUCCUCCCAUCGUAGCUUUUAGGCUGUCCUUUCAGUUCUCCACUGUCCCUGCAUCACCCCUGCCCCUGUCCCUUGUGUGUUUCUGUUCAGUCCAUGUUCCCAGGUGUUGAGGUGGCCCCUGAUUCUGUGCCCCUUACCUAAGACCCUGUGCAGGGAAUCUGUGAAAACAGAGGAAAUAAAAAGUGGGGAAAAUACUACUCAUGCAUCAUCGA